CAUCAAUGCUGUUGGCAUAAUACUCGCUGCUCUGCCUAAGAAAUAUUGGAAUGCAAAUGAACACCAUGGUGAGCCGCUGAUGUGUCUUCAGUUGGUGCUGCCUUGAGUAAAAAUUGUGAAGACAGCGAGCGCACUAAAAUCGCUGCAAGAAAUUAUAUAUGACAAUGCAGACAAAUCGGCGUCACUUACUAACGAGGAAACAGCGGAAACAAAGAUGAGGAAUUUGCAGGAUUGCAUAGAAUAUUUGGCCAAAUAUCGGCACUGAAAGCACAAAAAUCACAACGAAAAACAACCACGCCAAAGAGGAGUUUUAUGUGCCUAGUCAAGCAUUUUUAACUUCGCUAAUACAAAUUUUCCCAGCCAU